AUCCUUUCCCUGAACCCCAAAACUCCAAAUCACCUUCAAAGGCAAUCGUUGCAGUAGACAAGUACUUUUCCCCAAUCAGAUCAUCGCAUAAACUUUCGUCGGAAAAUUUGAAUUCGCCGGCGACUCCACCGCCGGCGGUGGAAAGGAGGUCGCCGCUGGUUUAUGUAAGUAGGGCGGUUAGGGAGGAUAUGGCACCUGGGGUGACGAAGGUGGGUCCGGUACGUGGUGGUGGUGCUGACGUGGAAGGGGGAGAAGUUGGAGGUGAGAAGCGGUCGAGGGCGGCUGUUGAGUCGAUUCUUGAAAGGUCGCAAAGGGAUGUUAUGAUGAACAGGGUGGCGUUAGGGUUUAGGGUUUGUGAGGUCAUUUUUUGCUUGAUUUCGUUUUCGGUUAUGGCAGCUGAUAAAACUCAAGGUUGGACUGGUGAUUCAUUUGAUCGUUACAAAGAAUACAGGUAUUUGGUAGCUGUUAAUGUUAUUGGAUUUGCAUAUGCUGGAUUUCAAGCAUUUGAUCUAGCACUAAGUUUGGCAACUGGGAAACACUUCCUCUCUUACCAUAUGCGAUAUCAUUUCAAUUUCUCAAUGGAUCAGAUACUGGCAUAUCUUAUUAUGUCUGCAUCAUCUUCUUCUGCAACGAGGGUAGACGACUGGGCAACAAAUUGGGGAAAAGAUGCAUUCACAGAAAUGGCAAGUGCAUCAAUCGCGAUGUCUUUCCUGGCUUUCAUUGCUUUUGCCUUCAGCUCUAUCAUAUCUGGUUAUAGCCUCUGCAACCGUAGUUCCUCGUGAUCUUGAAAUGAGUUACAACUAUAUUCAUCCAUUGUGUAAUUUUGAGAAAUUACUGCAAGAAAUAUUUAUGCCUAGUGGAUCAGAAGUUGUACAGAUGUAGUAAAUAGAUUUAGCUGUAUAAUAAUCUCUUUUUUUUCCCCA
rnacentral:misc_RNA from 1 species